rnacentral:lncRNA from 1 species
AAGUGCUGGGAUUACAGGUGUGAGCCUCCGCACCUGGCCGAGACACCAUCUCUUAAAAAAAAAAAAAAUAGCCACGUGUGGUGGUGGUCGCCUGUAAUCUCAGCUUUUUGGGAGACUGAGGCAUGAAAAUCACUUGAACCUGGAAAGUGAUGGUUGCAGUGAGCUGAGAACACACCACUGCACUCCAGCCUGGGCUACAAAGUGAGACUGUUUAAAAAUUAUGUUUGAGAGACAUGAUCUUCCUCUCACCCAGGAUGGAGUAGAGUGGUGUGAUCAUAGCUCGCUGUAACCCCAAACUCCUGGGCUUAAGCAGCCCUCCCUCUCAGGCCUCCUGAGUAGUUGGGACAGGCCUGUGCCACCACUUUUAAAGACAGCCUCACUUUGUCACCCAGGCUGGAGUGCAGUGGUGCGAUCUUGGCUGACUGCAACCUCCAUCUCCCAGGUUCGAGCGAUGCUUGUGUCUCAGCUUCCCCAGUUGCUAGGAUCAUAGGCACCCACCACCAUGCUGGGCUAUUUUUUGCAUUUUUUAGUGGAGAUGGGGUUUCGCCAUGUUGGCCAGGCUCGUCUUGAAUUCCUGGCCUCAAGUGAUCCUCCCGCCUUGGCCUCCCAAAUUGCUGAGGUUACAGGUGUGAACCACUGCACCAGGCCCACCCUGCUAGUUUUUAAGUUCUUUGUAGGGUCUUGGCUGUUAUGUCCAGACUGGUCUCAAAUUCCUGGCCUCAAGGGAUUCUCCUGCCUGAGCCUCCCAAAGUGCUGGGAGUAUAGGUGUGAGCCAUGGUGCCCAGCCACAUUUUUUAGUUUUUAUUUUUCUUGGAUUUGUUGCAGUUAGGUUUUCCCUCCAACACCACUCCAAGAAAUUUCAUUGUUAAGAUUAGCAGUGAUUUUGUUGCUAAGUCCAGUGGUCCAUUCUUUUACUCGAGGUCUUUUGACCUCUGUUAGUGACUUUUGCUUGUCACUUCAUCCUAUUAGUGAUUCUUGAUAGUUGAUUUCUUCCUGAUUUUAACUGUCUUCCGGAUCCUCGACUCAAGCUUUUCCUCCUACAUCAUUGGCUACUCCUUUGCUAGUUCCAUUUUUUAGACUUUUAGUCAGUUUUAUAAGGCCGUAGGGCUGGUUGGGUGCAGUAGCUCACGCCUGUAAUCCCAGCACUUUGGGAGGCCGAGGUGGGCAGAUCACGAGGUCAGGAGUUAAGAGACCAGGUUGGCAACACAGUGAAACCCUGUCUCUACUGAAUAUACAAAAUUAGCCGGGUAUGGUGGUGGGCACUUGUAAUCCCAGCCACUUGGGAUACUGAGGCAGGAGAAUCGCGUGAACCUGGGAAGCAGAGGUUGCAGUGACCUGAGAUUGGGCCAUUGCACUCCAGCAGGGGUGACAGUGUGAGACUCUGUCUCAAAAAAAAAAAAAAAAAAAA